UACGUAGGGUGCGAGCGUUGUCCGGAAUUAUUGGGCGUAAAGAGCUCGUAGGCGGCUCGUCGCGUCAGCUGUGAAAACCGGCAGCUUAACUGUGGGCUUGCAGCUGAUACGGGCGGGCUAGAGUUCGGUAGGGGAGACUGGAAUUCCUGGUGUAGCGGUGAAAUGCGCAGAUAUCAGGAGGAACACCGGUGGCGAAGGCGGGUCUCUGGGCAACAACUGACGCUGAGGAGCGAAAGCGUGGGGAGCGAACAGG
rnacentral:rRNA from 1 species